rnacentral:lncRNA from 1 species
UUACAGACUGAAUGGUGCAUUUCUACAAAGAGCUGUGCAGCCCAACAAAUGUUGCCCUCAUUCAUGGAGAAGAUUGACUCUUACCCAGUUCUGUUUCCUAACGGGAUUUCUAGGGUCUGAGACAGAGUGGAGAUAGACGUGACUGACAUUUGGGAUCUCUGACACACAGAUAUUGACUGUGGUUUGUACCUGGUGAAAUAAGCAUGUGGAAAUGACUUGGCAGUGUUCUCCCCCUGUACCAACUCCAGGAAUUGUUGCUGCACAGGACAACAACGACCACUAGUGGCUAACGAGGAAUUUUCCCAAAUGGAUAAAAGUGGAAGAGAAAACCCAUAGGUUUAAUACGCUGAGUUACUGUGGCAGAUGACUGUGGAUGGAUUUAGUGUGCUAAGAUGUAAAGCAGGUUUCAAG